rnacentral:antisense_RNA from 1 species
ACUGAAAAAAAUUGACUUGUAUGAGAAGAACGGAGACAGAGGGCUUGGUGGUUUAACAUCUUGCUGGAGACUAAAAAGCAACCCUAUGGUGGAGGAAUUGGAAAAUAUCACAAAGAAGGUAGAAAAGGUCCUACUCAGGCAAGUGUGGCCCAGUGCCUGCUUUCCAGCUCAGGCCUCGGGGGUGCUAGAGAAAGAUGGGCAGGGACUGCACCAGUGGGGCUGAGUCUUGGCUGCUGUGUGGGAAGCCAGAGAGAGAGGAAGGCCUGGUUAGAAAGAAGGAAGAGUUGGAGACAUAACUGAACACCACAACCAUCAGGGCAGCCCAGAGAAGGGCAAGGUGUCCAACUAAUGUAAGCUGAAAACAGCAUAAUCAUGUUAUUGUCACCUUCAUUUGACAAAUAAGGUUACUGUCAGAUAAAUGAGCAUCUACAAGAACCAGAGAAAAAUAAAGAUUAACAUGACCCAGAAAUAGCUGGCAGGAGAGUUUGAAAGCUCAGCUUUAGAGAAACUGAACAGAAGUGGUUCCUGAUUUGAAUAAAAUUGAAG